rnacentral:rRNA from 1 species
UACGGAGGGUGCAAGCGUUAUCCGGAAUCACUGGGUUUAAAGGGUGCGUAGGCGGUGGUGUAAGUCAGCUGUGAAAUGCCCCGGCUUAACCGGCGGAACUGCGAUUGAUACUGCAUCACUUGAAUCAGGAUGAGGUAGGCGGAAUGUGGCAUGUAGCGGUGAAAUGCUUAGAUAUGCCAUAGAACACCGAUUGCGAAGGCAGCUUGCUGGGCCUGAAUUGACGCUGAGGCACGAAAGCGUGGGGAGCAAACAGG